CCUACGGGAGACUGCAGUCGAGAAUCAUUCACAAUGGGGGAAACCCUGAUGGUGCGACGCCGCGUGGGGGAAUGAAGGUCUUCGGAUUGUAAACCCCUGUCAUGUGGGAGCAAAUUAAAAAGAUAGUACCACAAGAGGAAGCGACGGCUAACUCUGUGCCAGCAGCCGCGGUAAUACAGAGGUCUCAAGCGUUGUUCGGAAUCACUGGGCGUAAAGCGUGCGUAGGCUGUUUCGUAAGUCGUGUGUGAAAGGCGAGGGCUCAACCCGCGGACGGCACAUGAUACUGCGGGACUAGAGUAAUGGAGGGGGAACCGGAAUUCUCGGUGUAGCAGUGAAAUGCGUAGAUAUCGAGAGGAACACUCGUGGCGAAGGCGGGUUCCUGGACAUUAACUGACGCUGAGGCACGAAGGCCAGGGGAGCGAAAGGGAUUAGAUACCCUUGUAGUC
rnacentral:rRNA from 1 species